CUGAUAAUGCCUUCUGAUUGGCUGUAACCCCGUGGGAGGAGACGUCUGAUAAUGCCUUCUGAUUGGCUGUAACCCCGUGGGAAGAGACGUCUGAUAAUGCCUUCUGAUUGGCUGUAACCCUGUGGGAAGAGACGUCUGAUAAUGCCUUCUGAUUGGCUGUAACCCCGUGGGAAGAGACGUCUGAUAAUGUGAUCAUGGACUUCUGUGGAGUCGAGACACCGGAGGAUGUCACCAUGGAUACCACCUGAUGUCGCCAUGGAUACCACCUGAUGUCACCAUGGAUACCACCAGAUGUCGCCAUGGAUACCACCUGAUGUCACCAUGGAUACCACCAGAUGUCGCCAUGGAUACCACCUGAUGUCGCCAUGGAUACCACCAGAUGUCGCCAUGGAUACCACCUGAUGUCGCCAUGGAUACCACCAGAUGUCGCCAUGGAUACCACCUGAUGUCGCCAUGGAUACCACCAGAUGUCGCCAUGGAUACCACCUGAUGUCGCCAUGGAUACCACCAGAUGUCGCCAUGGAUACCACCUGAUGUCGCCAUGGAUACCACCAGAUGUCGCCAUGGAAACCACUCACUGGCCAUGCCAGCCAAUCAACCGCGAGGAAUCUAGACGGUGACCUCAGAGCCAGGUCGUCCAACUGAGCCUUUUUUGCUGGAGGGUGUGAGUGAGAGUUAAAGGAGUAAGAAGAGUGUGUGUGUGAGAGUUAAAGGAGUAAGAAGAGUGUGUGUGUGUGUGUGAGAGUUAAAGGAGUAAGAAGAGUGUGUGUGUGUGUGUGUGAGAGUUAAAGGAGUAAGAAGAGUAAGAGUGUGUGUGUGAGAGUUAAAGGAGUAAGAAGAGUGUGUGUGUGUGUGUGAGAGUUAAAGGAGUAAGAAGAAAGUGUGUGUGUGUGUGAGAGUUAAAGGAGUAAGAAGAGUGUGUGUGUGUGUGUGUGAGAGUUAAAGGAGUAAGAAGAGUGUGUGUGUGUGUGUGUGAGAGUUAAAGGAGUAAGAAGAGUGUGUGUGUGUGUGUGUUAAAGGAGUAAGAAGAGUGUGUGUGUGUGAGAGUUAAAGGAGUAAGAAGAGUGUGUGUGUGUGAGAGUUAAAGGAGUAAGAAGAGUGUGUGUGUGUGUGUGAGAGUAGCAGAGAUCUUUAUGUGUCAGUCGAUGUGUAACUAAGAGCAGGAAGGAUGACCAUGUGUACGUGUGUGUAUGUGUGUAUAUGUGUGUAUAUGUGUGUAGGAUGUGUGUGUGUGUAUGUGUGUGUGUAUAUAUGUGUAGGAUGUGUAGGAUGUGUGUGUGUGUAUGUGUGUGUGUAUAUGUGUGUAGGAUGUGUAGGAUGUGUGUGUGUGUAUGUGUGUAUGUGUGUGUGUAUAUGUGUGUAGGAUGUGUAGGAUGUGUGUAUGUGUGUGUGUAUAUGUGUGUAGGAUCAGUGGGGAUGUGUGUAUAUAUGUGUGUUUGUGUGUAGGAUCAGUGGGGAUGUGUGUGUAUAUGUGUGUAGGAUGUGUUGGAUGUGUAGGAUGUGUGUGUGUAUAUGUGUAGGAUCAGUGGGGAUGUGUGUGUGUAGGAUGUAUAGGAUGUGUGUGAUAUAGGUGUGUAAACAUGAAGUGUGUGUGAUAUAGAUGUGUAAACAUGAAGUGUGUGUGUGUGUGCAAACAUGAAGUGUGUGUGAUGCCUUCUCUCACACCCCUGAGCCCUGUGAAGAUAUACGCAGACCUCCUCAGUCCUGUGAACUCAACCAAACUGAUCCAGCUGUACUGUGCCCACCCCGCCGAUGGCAGCCGGAACUGGCCCGGAACUGGCCCGGAAGCUGGCCCACAUCUGCCAUAUAGCCCUCAACUCAACACUGCCUCACGGAGUCUGCGCACAGAGAAGGAGUUUAACGAGUUUAACGAGUUUAAAGAUUAGACUUUUGUACUGUUGGACAACAAUAUGCAGUCAGAACUGUGAUUCAUGACCUGUGAUGACAACAACAUACACACCCGACACUUUGUCCCUUUUUGGAAAUGAAUCGUUGAUGUUUGAAUAUUAGGUGUAUAAAAAAUAUAUUCUUAUCCUGUUUUUAAAACGA
ensembl:lncRNA